ACAUAGCAAGUUGGAAAAAUACAAGAAGGCCUCAAAAGCUCUCAAGAAAAGUUGGAAGAAACCUACACUUCAUUGGCCCAAGUUUCAAGUUCAAAGAAUUCAAGUUGGAGGAGCAAAUUUAAAGAAAGAUUCAAAAGAAUAGUCCUCGAGUCGACUCCUGGAAGUUUAGAGUCGACUCUGGCACUCUGGAGUUUCAAGGAACAGUGCUCGAGUCGACUCCGGGACUCUACGAGUCGACUCCG
rnacentral:lncRNA from 1 species